UUCUGAUUUACUAUUUUCAAACUGUCUGCUGGGAUUUUGGUGGCAAGAAACAAACUUGGAUUACAGGAAUGAGGGACCUAAGCAGAUUUUAACCUAGCUCUAUGGAGGCAAAAUGUUAGUGUAUGAGCCCACUGUACCAUGUCUGAAUUGGUGCCAUAUGAUGAUGAAUUCUGAUACAAAGACAAGGCAGGACCUGAUUUGGAUUAUAUAUAUGAAAACAGAUGGAAAGAAAGAAUUUGAAAUUGGAAGAUGGCAGGGACAGCUGAUGGCAUUAUGAUUCCAACGAAGAAGGGAAAAAAAUUGGUGUAUGUGUGGGGGGAGGAGACAAAAAACGGUUCCUUUACUCCCUGACACCCACACUUCAAUCUGGCAAAAAGAUGAAAGCUUGUUUUGAUCCAGUUCUGUGUAAUGUAACAGAGAUGGAUGAUUCAUAUGAAGGAAGCUGUUUUGACUUCCAGCACAUCAAAAUAAAUUUAAUUCCUUCACCUACCUUUGCAGCAAAUGUAAAGUGUUGGGAAUACAAGCUUUGAGCUCUA